CCUACGGGAGGCAGCAGUGGGGAAUCUUGCGCAAUGGGCGAAAGCCUGACGCAGCCAUGCCGCGUGAAUGAUGAAGGUCUUAGGAUUGUAAAAUUCUUUCACCGGGGGACGAUAAUGACGGUACCCGGAGAAGAAGCCCCGGCUAACUUCGUGCCAGCAGCCGCGGUAAUACGAAGGGGGGCUAGCGUUGCUCGGAAUUACUGGGCGUAAAGGGAGCGUAGGCGGAUAGUUUAGUCAGAGGUGAAAGCCCAGGGCUCAACCUUGGAAUUGCCUUUGAUACUGGCUAUCUUGAGUAUGGGAGAGGUUAGCGGAACUCCGAGUGUAGAGGUGAAAUUCGUAGAUAUUCGGAAGAACACCAGUGGCGAAGGCGGCUAACUGGCCCAUUACUGACGCUGAGGCUCGAAAGCGUGGGGAGCAAACAGGAUUAGAUACCCUGGUAGUCCACGCCGUAAACGAUGAGUGCUAGUUGUCGGCAUGCAUGCAUGUCGGUGACGCGAGCUACGACAUUAAGACACUCCGCCGUCGGGAGGUACGGUCGGCGAGAAGUUAAACGUAACGUAAAGUAAGUUAGUUAGUACGUUGUUAGAGAGCGACGACGACGACGACGGAGGAGGAG
rnacentral:rRNA from 1 species